rnacentral:rRNA from 1 species
UACGUAGGUGGCAAGCGUUAUCCGGAUUUACUGGGUGUAAAGGGCGCGUAGGCGGGGACGCAAGUCAGGUGUGAAAUCUAUGGGCUUAACCCAUAGACUGCACUUGAAACUGUGUCUCUUGAGUGAUGGAGAGGUAAGUGGAAUUCCUAGUGUAGCGGUGGAAUGCGUAGAUAUUAGGAGGAACACCAGUGGCGAAGGCGACUUACUGGACAUUAACUGACGCUGAUGCGCGAAAGCGUGGGGAGCAAACAGG